AUUGUUUCUGUCUUUUAUAAAGCUGUCUCACAUAUAUCAUCCUCAGCUAGCUAGAAGCCAUACAGGAUUACGACUGAUGUGCGAUUUCAAGAUAGCUAGUCAUUUCACUUAGUCAUGGUGCCACCCCCACCAUGCCAGAACCCAACAAAACUUGGCAACAGCAAGGGCUUAGUUGGUCUUUUCAGCAUGGUGGGAGGUGGCAGAGUAUAAAUAUUCAAGGUAUGAAUUUGAUUUGAUGGGAGGAAUGGGGGGUUUGGUUGAAUUGCAAUAGCAAAUAUGUCAACCACAUCCAGGGGACUGUUUCCCCCACAGGGCAAUUAUAAUCCUUUGGCAUGCACUUUAAGUUGAAGAUGAUCUCUUAUCUCUUCACUUCAUGUGAUGGGAGAAACUGGGUUUUUUUAGAUUGCAACCAGAUUUCACUGUAAGGGCUGGUUUCUCCCAUAGGGCAACUUCAAUCCUUUGGCAGUUUCACUUCUCUUUGCGCCAUGUGUUUACAUCGUUGGAAAAGGUUCUAUGAAGAACCAUAUGCAGCAUGCCCGAGAGUUAGUUUUCUCUUUUAGUAAUCUUUGUUUUACGUUUUCCUUUGUUUUUUCAUAUUUUCUUAAGUGUGUGUUGUAUGAAAUAAGCAGUGGUUCGUGGGUGCUUUGCAUUUGUGAUUUUUGUUCUGUAACUCCUGGAUGUAUCAGAAUAUAGCAAGUAAGCUGCAAUCACCAUAUGUUUCAGAAUCCAGAUCGUUUUACUGAUGCAGCUUAAUGUUAAGUCAUCCAAAAAUAAAUGAAUGGCAGCUCAUUUGAUUUAGUUUAUUGUUAUUACCUGUAGCUCCAUUGUGCUAAUGGGAUGUGUCAAUAAGAACUCAAACCCCAUGCUAACCACGAAUCAAAAAAGAUUGGAAACACUGCACAUGCACAUAAUCAGUCCAUUAUUUGCUGUGAUAUUUUUUGAGACA
rnacentral:lncRNA from 1 species